ensembl:lncRNA
UUCUUCAUGAUCACCCUGUGGCUGGUGUUAUUUGCAGAUAAGAAAACUGCAACUCAAGAUGGUAAAAACACCCAGAGCCCAUCAGCUACAGAAUCUAUGUGGAAGUGAAACUAGCCACCAAUGAAAGUGGUACCCCAAAAUUGAGUGAGCAAUUCAGGGAGACAUCUGUGGAUAUUAGAAAGCGAACUCCGCCCCUGUAACUAAUGAGUCCCAGGCUCUGCCCUGUUCUAUUUCCAAAAGAUGAAGGAAAGCAGGCACCACAGAGCAAAUCUCACCCUAAGAGGCCGAAUGAUGUCACCCAGAACCCUGGAAGCCCACAGAAGUAUUACCCUUUAAGAAAAAAAGCCAGGUACUCCCUCUGGCAUUUAUUUAAGGACACGUAGAGACCCUGUCACUAUCCCCAACAAUAAAUACCAAUGUUGCCUUGGUGUAUGACUGGAGGAGGAAGCAAGAUCACAAUCCCAGAUGACUGAAUCCAACUUCACAAGGAAGACCUGAUCUUGGCAAAAGCCAAGGUUUUUCAAACUCAUCCCUUUGGGGGUUGCAGUGUUUAAAAGUAAAUUUCUUCCCACCACUAAAACUCGCUGGGUGGAAAUAGCCCUUGGAAGAAUGGAAACCCAUGUCCCUCUGCAGCAAUCCAGUCUGCCUCCCAACGCUCAGAAAUGUGCUGUGCUCAGCAUUUCUGUGCUGAUGCAGCAUCCAUGGUCAAAAAGGCGGGCGGCUGCAGCAGCCACAGCAGCAGUUGCUCUAGGGGGUGGAAAUCAGAUUGCACCAUUUCUACCUCAUUUGGCAGCAGAAGCACCGAGUCACAAGGAAGACGAGGUUCUAGUCCAGAAGCAGCUGGGCUAUAUCACUUUAAAGGUGUCAUCAAAGAAGAAAAGCCGAAGUGGGGGAAGAGAUGGGCCCUGCGUGUGCGGAUGUCGCCGGGGUGAGGGUUGACUCCCGCAGCUGCAGAACCGACUCUUGGGAAAGACCGAAGAUUUCUCACUGCUGGCGCUGGGUUUCUGUUGGGGGUCGGGGCAGGGGUGUCCCUGGGUUUUGUUCUCAUGGGCAGAUUCAUUCUGAGUCCUUCCUUAAGGCCAAGCUAACCCCGCGCUCCCGGAAAAGCACUCCACACGACUACACCAGCACAACAAAAGGCGCCUCCCGAAGUGAGUCUAAACGUUCGCGGGACGGGUGGCGGCCGGACGUGGAGACGCACUUCUGUGCGCUCUAAUCUCAGGCGUCCAUCUGGCCCCCGGAGGAGCGGGCAGCGCGGGCUGGCGGGCGGGAGGGCGCCGCGGGCAGAGAAGGGGGAGCCGGGACGGCGCGCGCACGUACCCAGAGGCGCGGGCACGCGCGUCCGCUCUCCUUCACGUUCACCUUGACUGCAGGGGGGGGGCGGGGGAUGGGACUACCUCUCCCCCCGCCCCGCCAAGACUAGCCCUCUCCCCACCCCCGCUGCUGUCCUGCCCUGACGCCUGCUCUGGGCUGGGGGCGGCGGGGGCGGGAGGUGCAAAGUCGCUCCGGUCGCCGCAGCGGCGGGACAGCCGCGCGCUCUCCGCAAUGAUGUCAACUGCAUCCUCCGCAGCACCCCCACCACCACCCCACCCCGGGCCUCGGCCGCCUCCCGGCCUGCGGAAACUCUUGUCCCGUGCGUCCAACCUGGGGUUCGUAGCAGAGAGCUUGCAGUGCCCUAAGCCCCUCACUCCAUUUGCCAUAGCUGAAGAGACGGGCUGGACCCACUGCGGCCACCAGGGAGGAGGAAGGGGAGCAGGGCGGGGGACCAGGUGUAGGUUUGCUGGCCGGGGCCGCUGAGCAGGUCGGCCCGGGACCGACGCGGCCCCGGCUACGUUAAGGAGGCGAAGGGCAGGGACCACUGCAGGUGCCGCGCAUGUGGGCACGGCGAAAGCGCCCCCUUCUCCCAGGAUAGAAAUGGAUAAACGGAAGCGCGUGUGAA